GAAAAGAAUUAAAAUAACCUCGCUUAGGUCUGAUACUGUUUCACAUGAAAAGGACCACACCGAAUAUUCUGAAAUUCAGAGGAUGUUAGCUUUAACCCCACCCCCAACCCAUCAUAACAAAAAAAAAAAGAAAAGAAAAAAGAUCUGUGGCUUUAAGUUAAAACCAUUCAAGGCCCAGGUGUUAUGCCUUGCUGCAUGACGCAUGGCCCUGCCCAAUAUUAAGAAAGAGAAAUAGAAAUUUUGAUACUUUAUCGGCAUGGUUGGAAGAACACAUCAAACAUCUAGACUAGAAUAUGUGGCAGGCUGGCAACAUAAGAUGCCAGCUUGAGAUCAUGCUUGAGCAAAAAGAAAAUAGUUUUGUUUUCACAAGGGACACGGCUGUUUGAACCUUUUCAACAUGACCCACUGAGAUAGAUGAGAGAUUACCUAUAUAGUAUUCACUAAACAUGUGUGGCUCGACUUUUACGGACAAAUGCAUCAGGGGAUCUCUUUGGACUGGGUAUCCAGUUGUGGUGUUUUCUUCGAUUGACAACUAUCAAGGGGAGGAAAUUUCAAUUUUUCUAUAGCUAAGUUAAAGGAAGCAGAUUAAGUACUGAGCAAGCAAUUGCAUGAUGACCAAUGGGAAGAAAGAUAGAGAAAUCUGUGCCUCGGAGAUUAACAUGAGAAUAAUUUCCUUUGGAUACAAGAAGACUUUAGCUUCAAUAUCGUGAACUACAAUAGAAGGAUGAGUUCAUAAAAGCUCACCAAGAGGUUUCGCAUAGCAUACUGCCCACGCGCACAGAUUCAUUUUAUACUGAGAAGACUUGGGUGCUGAAUUAUAAGGUGGAAUAUAAGAGAAAAUUUAAGAAAAGUUGAUUAGACAACACAAUGAUAGAGUUGCUUAAACAUAAUGUGCUGGACCUCAAGGCUAAGCAUUUGAGGAAACAUGCCUAAAAUUGUGUGUGGGUCACCUUUUCCAUCAAGCUUCACAAGCUUAGGUAUCUUGGACCAGGGUGGUAGACUUACAUUUGGAUAAUAGCACAUAGCUGCCAGAGAACAUUUUGAGUUAUAGCCGCUUGGGUGAACUCUAAGACUUGUCACUCGAAAUCUUCUCGGGAAUUUAAGAUCCAAGGAUGAAAUGCAUUUUCGGUUGGAUGAGGGGAGCAACGGUUAACACCAAAGGAAACUUUUUGGUCCAACGGUUGGUCAUAAUGUCCUACAUUGGGUUGUAAAGGGUAGCCUGAGUUAGGCUAGCUAGAUAGACCAGAAAUAUGGAAAGAAGGUUCUUGAUUUGUUAGACUAGGAUAACCCUGAUUGGAUUAAGAAAAAGAAUCGAUCGGCUAUAGAGGAGGCUCUUGUUGCCGAUAACCCAAGUUGGGUUGUGCCUGUUGUGUCGGGCAGAAAGCGGAAGAGUCAAGUGUCAAUUCAGAUAGAUAGACAUGGUUUGACCGACUGAUCAUGGGUGGAACAUGGCCUGUUUGACUAGUUGCCAAUGGCAUCUGGUCUUGGUAGCCAUAAAUUCGAAUUCAUGCGAAUAAAAAUAAAGAGUUAACUGGCCAGAUAGCUAGAUGAUGAGACAGUCUUUGGAUUGGAGCAGAAAGAUAGAGAAGAUUUGAGGGUCCCCACUUUCUUGCUUUUUGUACCCUUUUAUCGGCAUGAGUUGGGCUAAUGGGGAAAGGAGUUUUUGUUAGCUUGAGAUUAAAGGGUCUUAAUCCAAUGGAGAAGAGAAGAUUCCCGGCAAAAGUGAAAAAGUCUUGAUCCAUAAACACUUGCUCAUCUUGCACCAGCACCAAGAAAACAUGUGAAUGAAAAAACAAGGGCACCAUAAGUCAUAUGCUAUCUUUGUGCAAAGACCACAUAAAUUGCUAAUGUGUGCCCUAGGAGGUAGGCAAUUACUGCUACUGUUAAAGAGUAAAAUGAGGAGAAUUAAGCUUAGAAGAAUGAAGAUGAUAUCCAUCAUGUGGAGCUUGAGGGUGCUUUAAGAGGCAAUACAUUGUCCUUAGUGGCACAUCAUACAUAAGAGUAAAUAAAGGGGGAUACUUUUUGCACAAUUGCCUAAUUCUAAUAUAAUCACCUGAAUCUAGUCUUCAUAGAGUUCGUUAAAAGGUAGGGCCUAGAAGAAAUUCGAAUCCAGAGGCCUAUCCUUAACUUGGAUCGAGAAUAACAUGGACUACAACUACAAAGAUAUGCUACUCAUUUAUUAGACUAGGAGGAAAGGUUCCACAAUUUGUUGAUUGUCCUAUUGUCCCAAUGAAAUAUAUGUUAUUUUAGGAUCCCCUAGUUACAAUAUUUAGAUGUCAUUCGCAAACCCAUAGUUUUAGUAUGAAGACUUGUGGAUGACAACACUGCUCGAUAGUUCUAUGGUUGUACCUUUAAGUCUCUUCAAUCCAAAGAACAAGGCAGUAAUUGCAUCAUGAAGAAGUCCCCUACUAUUGCAAUAGCUUCUACAUCUUGGGGGAUUCUUGGAUAAUGUAUAGGAUAGGGUCAUAAGCUAGCUUCUUUUCUAUACUCGAGCAGUUGAUGCAAUUGGAAGCUGCAAUGUAUUUGAUUCAAUAUUAAGAAUCAAUUUUUUGGAGGAUUGACAAUUAUAUCUAAAUCAGAAGCCUUUUUGCUAAACUUUAUAUUUUCUAGUGUUUAUCAACAUCAUUAUAUUAGUAAUCUAAUUCAUGUAAGGCUAAGUUUGAAAGUUCCAAGUCAUCAGAAAGCUAGUUUGUACACUUAGGUGGCAAUGACUUGGAGUUAUUUCCACCAUGGUUCACAAUACUAAAUUUGUUACCUGUACCAGUACCAUGCUGGAAUGGUAUCAAGAAGGGUCAGUUCAUCAUAUCAACAAUCAGUAUGCUCCCGUACCAAGUAUUGGUUCGCUGUUGGUGAAGUGUGAUAUGCCUGGUACUAGGUGGUAUGGUCCAAUAAGGCAAAUCAUGAUCUCCACAUAAGCCUUUAUUUAAAAGAUUGGGCCCCAUUGCAACUAGAGAUAAAAGAGGAGUAGGUUCUCCUUGUUCCCUUUAGACAUCCUUAACUCCAAAACCUCUCGCUCUUUCUCUCUCUCCCCCUCGCUCACUCACUUCUCUCUCCCACACAUAGAGAUACAACAAAGCGGGCUGGCCACUUAACAAGGUUACUUUAAGUUUUUAAAGGUUAUAUAGCAUUAUUAUGCUUCUUAUUUAAGGGGAUUUUUAUGUAACAUAAUUCGGUUUUAAAAUUUGGAAAAGUAACAGGCCUCUCUGCUUCUCUUAGUUAAUCUUCAGCCUCCUCUCAUUUUCUUCCUCCUCUCAUUCAUUCUCUUGAUCUUCUUCCUC
rnacentral:lncRNA from 1 species